rfam:Rattus norvegicus chromosome 2, whole genome shotgun sequence.
GGGGAUUUAGCUCAGCGGUAGAGCACUUGCCUAGCAAGCGCAAGGCCCUGGGUUCAGUCCCCA